UGGGAUAGUGGUGUUGAGAAAAUUAAGAAUCAGUUUUGGUCCUACAGUUACAGUAAUCUCAAACUUAAUAGAGUCUUUGAGGAAGCUGUCUCCUAGGUCAAUUGAGUAUUGAGGAAUUCGGGUACCUGCCCCUUGAGUUAAACGAGCCUUGAUGAGUCCUAUAGAGUCUGUUUCUGAAGAGCAUAGAAUGCCGAGGUAUCUGGGAGUCUGUUUUCUGAAGA
rnacentral:misc_RNA from 1 species